UACGUAGGGUGCGAGCGUUGUCCGGAUUUAUUGGGCGUAAAGAGCUCGUAGGCGGUUUGUCGCGUCGGCCGUGAAAUCUCCACGCUUAACGUGGAGCGUGCGGUCGAUACGGGCAGACUUGAGUUCGGUAGGGGAGACUGGAAUUCCUGGUGUAGCGGUGAAAUGCGCAGAGUAUCAGGAGGAACACCGGUGGCGAAAGCGGCUUCCUGGCCCGACACUGACGCUCAUGUACGAAAGCGUGGGGAGCAAACAGG
rnacentral:rRNA from 1 species